rnacentral:sRNA from 2 species
AUGGAAGAACAUAUAUAUAUAUAUUUAUAUUCAAGCAGCCAGCCCCCGAAAAUCUCCCGCGAGUGAUAGGGCGCAGAGAGUGGAACAGAGGCCAAAGCAUGGCCGGUUUCAAUUCAAGAAGCAAAAUUCAAACCAUCGACAAUAUAUGAUGAGCUGCAGCUGUCCUCUCCUCCAGAGACAGCUUCUUGAUAUGAACGACGCUCUCAUGCAGGGAGGUCUCCGGAUUGCAGGCAAGGCAGUUUGAAAUAUCCCGAAAAGAACAGAAACCAUCCCGGCGGCUCCGUAAUCUAAUUUUCUUCUGCAAGGGACACUUCUAAGGGCCAGCUGGAGCUUGACAUUUGCUUGUCAUAUGGAAUCGGAUGGCGACGAUUACAUCGAUCGCCUUGCACUAUUAUUGUUAUUGUUGUUACUUUCUUGCAUAUAUCUCAAGGUAACCACUUUCUUCAGCCGACGUCUAUGCCAGUUGCUUCAAAC